UACGUAGGUGACCAGCGUUGUCCGGAUUUACUGGGCGUAAAGAGCGCGCAGGCGGUCGUUCAAGUCGAGUGUGAAAGCCCCCGGCUCAACUGGGGAGGGUCACUCGAUACUGAUCGACUUGAAGGCAGUAGAGGGAAGCGGAAUUCCCGGUGUAGUGGUGAAAUGCGUAGAUAUCGGGAGGAACACCAGUGGCGAAGGCGGCUUCCUGGCCUGUUCUUGACGCUGAGGCGCGAAAGCUAGGGGAGCAAACGGG
rnacentral:rRNA from 1 species